UACGGAGGGUGCAAGCGUUGUUCGGAUUUAUUGGGCGUAAAGCGCGUGUAGGCGGUUUCUUAAGUCUGAUGUGAAAGCCCUGGGCUCAACCCAGGAAGUGCAUUGGAUACUGGGAGACUUGAAUCCGGGAGAGGGAUGCGGAAUUCCAGGUGUAGCGGUGAAAUGCGUAGAUAUCUGGAGGAACACCGGUGGCGAAGGCGGCAUCCUGGACCGGCAUUGACGCUGAGGCGCGAAAGCCAGGGGAGCAAACGGG
rnacentral:rRNA from 1 species